AGUGCCAGCAGCCGCGGUAAUACGGAGGAUCCAAGCGUUAUCCGGAAUCAUUGGGUUUAAAGGGUCCGUAGGUGGACAAAUAAGUCAGAGGUGAAAUCCUGCAGCUCAACUGUAGAACUGCCUUUGAUACUGUUUGUCUUGAGUUAUUAUGAAGUGGUUAGAAUGUGUAGUGUAGCGGUGAAAUGCAUAGAUAUUACACAGAAUACCGAUUGCGAAGGCAGAUCACUAAUAAUUAACUGACACUGAGGGACGAAAGCGUGGGUAGCGAACAGGAUUAGAUACCCUGGUAGUCCACGCCGUAAACGAUGGUCACUAGCUGUUUGGACUUCGGUCUGAGUGGCUAAGCGAAAGUGAUAAGUGACCCACCUGGGGAGUACGUUCGCAAGAAUGAAACUCAAAGGAAUUGACGGGGGCCCGCACAAGCGGGUGGAGCAUGUGGUUUAAUUCGAUGAUACGCGAGGGAACCUUACCAGGGCUUAAAUGUUAGGGUGACAGGUCUAGAAAUAGAUUUUUCUUCGGGACACUUAACAAGGUGCUGCAUGUUUGUCGUCAGCUCGUGCCGUGAGGUGUCAGGUUAAGUCUAUAACGAGCGCAACCCCCUGUGUUAGUUGCCAGCGAGUAUGUCGGAACUCUAGCAAGACUGCCAGUGCAAACUUGUGAAGGAAGGGUGGGGAAUGACGUCA
rnacentral:rRNA from 1 species